rnacentral:rRNA from 1 species
AAAGCAUCUAAGCGCGAAGCCAACUUCAAGAUAAGAUUUCCCACCGCAAGGGUAAGACCCCAGAAAGACUAUCUGGUUGAUAGGUCGAAGGUGUAAGUGCAGCAAUGUAUUUAGCUUAUCGAUACUAAUAGGUCGAGGACUUGACCAAUAUUAUUUGAUGUUAUUCAUUAAGAUAUAUGUGCAGUUUUUAGAGUGUUAACUCUAUGUAAAGUACUAACUUCAAUUGAUGAAGUAUAUAUCGUAAAAACAAUUACUAUUUAGUACUUCAAAACUAUUGACAUUUAAAAAUAAAGAUGUUAAUAUAAUACUUGUCUUAUAAAUAGGCAAUAUGUGGUUAUAAUAGCAAAGAGGAUACACCUGUUCCCAUUCCGAACACAGAAGUUAAGCUCUCUAGCGCUGAUGGUACUUGGUGGGAAACUGCCUGGGAGAGUAGGACGUAGCCACGUUAAAUGUUCCAAGGUAGCUCAACGGUGGAGCAACCGGCUGUUAACCGGUAGGCUGUGGGUUCGAGCCCCACCCUUGGAGCCAAAAAAGCCGAAGUGGCGGAACUGGCAGACGCACAGGACUUAAAAUCCUGCGGGACUUACCUCUCGUACCGGUUCGAUUCCGGUCUUCGGCACUUAUAAAACAAUAUCGCGGAGUGGAGCAGUUGGCAGCUCGUCGGGCUCAUAACCCGAAGGUCGUAGGUUCAAGUCCUGCCUCCGCAACCAUUAAAAUGGCUCGUUGGUCAAGAGGUUAAGACACCGCCCUUUCACGGCGGUAACAGGGGUUCAAUUCCCCUACGAGUCACCAAUUAAAUAUGCGGGUGUAGCUCAAUGGUAGAGUUCUGGCCUUCCAAGCCAGCUGUGAGGGUUCGAUCCCCUUCACCCGCUCCAAAAAUGGGACCAUAGCUCAGCUGGGAGAGCACCUGCCUUACAAGCAGGGGGUCACAGGUUCGAGCCCUGUUGGUCCCACCAUUNGUACAGGAUAGGUGGGAGGCUUUGAAACCAGGACGCCAGUUUUGGCGGAGCCAUCCUUGGGAUACCACCCUUGUAGUACUGGGACUCUAACCAUAGGCCAUGAAUCUGGUCUUGGGACACUGUCAGGUGGGCAGUUUGACUGGGGCGGUCGCCUCCCAAAAGGUAACGGAGGCGCUCAAAGGUUCUCUCAGUACGGUCGGAAAUCGUACGUAGAGUGUAAAGGCAAAAGAGAGCUUGAUUGCAAGACAUACAGGUCGAGCAAGGAUGAAAAUCGGACUUAGUGAUCCGGUGGUUCUGCGUGGAAGGGCCAUCGCUCAACGGAUAAAAGCUACCCUGGGGAUAACAGGCUUAUCUCCCCCAAGAGUCCACAUCGACGGGGAGGUUUGGCACCUCGAUGUCGGCUCAUCACAUCCUGGGGCUGUAGUAGGUCCCAAGGGUUGGGCUGUUCGCCCAUUAAAGUGGUACGCGAGCUGGGUUCAGAACGUCGUGAGACAGUUCGGUCCCUAUCCGUCGCAGGCGUAGGAAAUUUGAGAAGACCUGUCCUUAGUACGAGAGGACCGGGAUGGACGUACCUCUGGUGUACCAGUUGUCCUGCCAAGGGCAUAGCUGGGUAGCUAUGUACGGAAUGGAUAAGCGCUGAAAGCAUCUAAGCGCGAAGCCAACUUCAAGAUAAGAUUUCCCACCGCAAGGGUAAGACCCCAGAAAGACUAUCUGGUUGAUAGGUCGAAGGUGUAAGUGCAGCAAUGUAUUUAGCUUAUCGAUACUAAUAGGUCGAGGACUUGACC